UACAGAGGGGGCAAGCGUUAUUCGGAAUUAUUGGGCGUAAAGGGCGCGUAGGCGGCGAUUCAAGUGACGGGUGAAAUCCCUCGGCUUAACCGAGGAACUGCCUGUCAGACUGGAUUGCUUGAGGCCGGGAGAGGUGAGUGGAAUUCCCAGUGUAGAGGUGAAAUUCGUAGAUAUUGGGAAGAACACCGGUGGCGAAGGCGGCUCACUGGCUCAUUACUGACGCUCAGGCGCGAUAGCGUGGGGAUCAAACAGG
rnacentral:rRNA from 1 species